CUGGAGGAGCUCAAGCUCUCGCUCAACUUUAUGUCUGAGGAAUUCACCAAAAUAGUGAAACAACAAUCUGUACUUAUUGGCGUGAAUUAAAAGCAAAAAUUAUAAAGAAAGACAAGACAAUCAAGUAUUUAGAAAGACGUGUCGAAGACUUAGAAGAAGAUACCAGAAUCAAUGAUGUCGUGAGUGGGCUGAACACCAGGAACCUUUCCUCAUGUGACAGCUGAAGCUGGCAGGGUGGCGACGAUAAGGCUCUAGGAGAAGCAAACAUCCCCGAGCAGCAGAUAUCAUAUAUUAAGCUUUUUAAUAAUAAUAAAAAAAAAACAUUGUUAUUGACUCAAAAUCUAUUUCAGCUUGCAGGGCCGGACUGGUAUGACAUUGGAUCAACUGAUUGGUCUGUAGAAACUGGCACCAAUCAAAUGAUUUGUGUUCGUCAGUUUUCACCUUCACCAAUUGGCAAUUGAUUAAAAAUAUCAGUCAUCAAGUUUUAUUUUUGAAACAGGAGAACUAAUCACCACAAGAGUGCGUGCAGGCGGAACAGAGAGACAGAGGGACGUGGUGCUGGCUACUGAUGGACUCGAAAAGGGGAGCAGAAAGAGAACUUAUUAAAAAAAAAAAAAAAAAAAAACAAGGCUCUUGAAGAAAAGGAAAUGCAGGAAGAUGUCAGAUAUUUUCAAAUCCCCCACCAGCAGUGGUGUCCAGCCACCGCAACAUCACACAACAAUUGGCAUUGUCGGGCAGGAUUUUGCGAGUGACCAGGGGGACCCAACGACGGUGUCCGACAGACCUGAACCUGAUUUUCAGGCGUUGUUUUUAAAAGGGAGAACCUUGUUUGGUUCUGUGGAAGUCAUCGCCGAAAUCAACAAACUCAAAAUAUAGUCUGAAAAAUAAGUCUGGUGAGUUAAAAGUACUUUGUUUAAUUAAGUUGUGAAGCUGGUUUGGAGACAGAGGGUCUGUUUGGGCUUGUGAGAGUCUGGACCACGUGGGCGUACACGGUGUUAGCUGUGGGUUACAGGCCUGCAGCUGGUAAUCCCUCUGUGUCCGCAGAGGUCCCCCGGUGGAAAAGGCCACCAGGAGUGACCAAGAGUGGCCAGGUAAACUUAUUACUCGGAGUCCGUGAAGACGUUCACGACUGUACCCCCCCCCCCUAGACUCUAAGCAACAGCUCCUCUGUCACAGGAGAAUUAUUUGAUUUUAUAAGUAAUUUUAUUUUAUGAGUUUUAUGAGUAACAAAUAUAGUAAAAAUUCAAUAGAAUUUUGUUCUGAAUGGAUCUCAGUAGGUGUGUUCAUGCGGAAGGAACUCUGAGUCUAAAGGAAAAAGCAACAAACAAAAAAGGGGAUAAAAGACGGCUUAAGAAAUGUAAUAAGAAUAAGAGGAAGCUGAACUGAGAUCUAAAAAUACCAUAAAGGUUUCUGAUGGGGAAAAACAUAGAGAAGCACUGAGCCUGUAGCAGACAGUGACCGCAGGCAGAAAGAAAAAAAAAAAAAGAAAAAACCCACUAAAUAGCCAGAUGGCUUUGUUUUAAGUACAUUAUCCAACUUCAGUCAUUUAUUUAAAUUCAUGGCGCUGAUAAGUCUGCUCUACGCAAGAGGCGUGUACGGAGAACUGACUUUGAGAACAACAGUUUUUGAGAACAUUUUCUUGUUCUUCCAUUUCUCAUCCUUCAUGAGAAAAUAUACAAGCUGUCAAAUAAUCUGAUCAGUCUGAGGAAAUGUUUUGCUCUGCUUCACAACGCUCAAGGACACACUUUCUAAAGUUAAGUGACACCCUGCUUGCAAUGAAGAAUGCUUUUUGCUCUCACACACACACACACACACUGAAGAUUUAUUUUUAGCAUUAUCAGAUCUCUGAGAGAAAACACUUGCAACUUUCCUCAGACACAUACACACUCUGUAGGAUAAAUAUUAACCCUAUUUUCCUAUUUUCCUUUUUCUCCUUUUCCUCCUCCCUCCGUCUCUGACUGAGACACCCUCUCCUGAAGCUCACAGGCUGCACACCUGACCCAACUCAGUUCUUCCACCAGGAUAAAAGUCAGCAGAGACCCACUGAUAUAAAAAAAAAAACACACACUCUAUCACCACCAUGUCCUACGAACUGAGACUGAUGCCCACCCCUACCUGCUCCACCUGAUGCUGAUGCCGAGAAAACUGUGUGACCUUUCCGGCCCAGUUUCCGUGGUGACGUGGCCACUGGGCUGAGGUGGGUGGUGGGGGCCAGAGGUUGGAAAACCAUCCAGGUCUGCUGACCAGAGGCAGAACAUCCAUGUGGUGAGAAGGGUCAUUGGGCAUGUGACCACGUGACACUGAUGGUGAGACCGUUCUGAUUUCAUACCAUAAAUAGUUCAUGAUUUAAUACAAAACUCUGUUAAUACACUGAAGUUUAUCAGAUAUUAUCUUUUAUGAAGAGAAGAUGCUAAAAGUAAACAAAAGACAGCUUCAGUUCUAGAGUAGGUCUGCACAUAAGACUAGUUCACAGCUGGAACAAGAGACACAUACAUGUGCACACACAUUUACAUGAACAAAAACACACACGCUCACUGCAAUGAAGUAUCUGCUUGCUACUGAUGACAUGUCAACAUCACAUGGCAUGAUGAGCUACUAAGCUGCAAGUCUCCUGAUUUCCUGACAACUUUAAGUGUGUGCGUGAUUUGCACAAAAACUGCUUGUGUGUCUCUGGGUCCUGAUUAUUUUAUUUUUGCUCACAACUGGUUUAAGUUGAUAUUUUGAAUAUCUUGGUAUCUAGAAUUUAUAAUAAAACUGAAACAGCUUCCAUUUUGCUCUUAAAAAGGCUGCAUAAUAACUUUGACCCGUGGUCUCAUGUGUGAACCAUAACAUGCUGCAUUUAGGGGUUAUUUGCAGCCACAUCCAAAUAUACUGGAAUGAUUUUCUUUGGUAUUGAUCCGUCAUGGCUCAUUGCUAAAUUAAAACGGAUAACAUGGCUCUUUGAGAUCAAGGUCUCAAACAUAUAUAAAGGGAGAAAAAUACAUGCUAUUUUACUUUUAAGAAUCAACACUGAAGGCCUGAUCUAUAUUUCAAUCAAGCAAACUAAGGAUUUGAAAUCAAUCAAAGAAGAAGAAGGGAGAAAAAAAAGAGGAUGGAUUAUUAAACAGUUUGGAAAAUAAAUCCCUGGCACUUAGAGAAAAUGUGAUUAAAAAAAAAAUAAAAAUAAAAAUAAAGCAAAUUAAAGGAGCUCCUUUUUUAACUGUCAGCAAAUAACCAGAUGGAAAUUAGUUAAAGUAAAAGAAAGGAAACUUGAAAAACUAGUUCAACAAACCUACGUUUAAUAUAGAUUAAAUGUUUUUUUUUUUUUUUUGGUGGUUGUUGUUGUUAUUUGCAAUAACACUGGAAAGUACACUGUAAGAAUAAAUACAGAGGUACCGGGAGAAAAUACAAAUUAUUUCAUAAUAAUCUGAUAUCCAUGGAUGUUUUAAACUGAUUCUCUUGUAAAAUAAAAAUAAAAGAUUUGUAAAAGAAUAAAAGAGAAAAAGUUGCUUGAGCAAAAUUUGGCUGAUGAUGGACACAUAAUUAACAGAAAUUCAAAUUGGCCUAAUGUCCAUAUCAUCCUGGAGUUUAAAGAAUUGAUUAAGAAAACUCCAGCAGACUUCAUGUCUUUCCAAAUCGAUGCUAUAUUGGCCUUCAAGGAUCCUCCUACAUGCAGGGAAAAUCUAUCUGCUCUGAUUUGGCUUUUCUACAGAACGAGUGACGUAACUGACAAAGUUCUGACUGACUUGAACAAACAGACUGUUGUUUACUUGACCUUUUCCUUCCAGCAGGAUUUCCUCUAGGACUCUACUCUGCUUCCACACAGGGAUGGUUGCUGUGUUUCAUAAUGCUGCUAACUCUGAUACCAUUAACCAGAAACACCUUUAAUUUCCUGAUAAGCAGGACUGAUGAUGUGGAUCUGCCUACAGGAAAAGACGUCUAUACUAAAUCUCUUUUGAAUAUGUGUAUAUGCAUUUUGAAAAUCAAACAUGAUAUUGACCCUUGUGACAUUUUGGGAUAAACUUUUACAGGAAGGAUAUUUUCACCAUGGACACAUGUGCUUGUGCUAAUUCAUCUGAUCAUACUGCUGAUGAUGGCUGCUUUCACAGGGGUGAUACCGGAGCAGUGGACUUCAGGAUCCAGUCGUACAAUUUGGUUAUAAUAACUGUAAUAACUAGUUUUCCUAGAUUACAGGAACAAGCAGAUUUUAUAAUAAAUAUCUGAUAUGUUUUUGUUGGUAUGUGCAUGUGUGACACUAUCCUGUGGUUUGAGUGAAUGUUGAUGUGUUUUAGAAUGUUUGUUUGUCCACAUCUUUCUUUCAUAAAGCUGGUUGCUCUGGCGACGCAGACACCGUUCUAAAAAUCGGACUGUAAGCUGGUUUUGGAUGUGUCUCGGGUUGCUGACCUUGGCAGGCACCGUUACUUCUGUCUGUCUCACUCCGGCGUCUCUCACUGGACGUCUCCCUACUUCUCCUCCUCGCUCCCUCUCUACUCUGCCCCUCCCUUCACAUUCUCUGCUUUGCAUGCUGACGGCUCUCUACCUCCUCCUGACCUGCAUGAGGAUGUGUAACCGGACAAGGUUGAACCUCAGUCCAUUUCAGGUUCUCACUAGCAGGCCUCCUGGUCUUGGAAUUGAGCCGGCCCUACCUGGAAUCGUCAUUGAUGAGGAUUCAGUGUUGGUUUAUUCCAAAACCUUUUCCUUGUGCUUUCUGAGGCUUUACAGGUGGUGACAGCAGCUCUCCCAAAACCAGCUGAGGACGAGUUUCACACACACUGAUGCAGGGUGGCUGGAUUGUAGGUGAGGACUCCAGAGGGAGCACUGAACGGCUCAGAGGGUCACGGGUCCUUACCAGUUGCCCCUGUGGGAGGUUUUCCUGGCCAGCCACUGCAACCGUGUCCCAGCACCAGCUGGAAAUCUUCAAUCUUCCCCGCCCCCAUCCAUCUCUGGGGGAGAUCUCGACUCAUCUGAUCCACCAGGAUGAAUCAACAUGGAUUGUCCUGUCCCCUUUUCCCUGAGUGGUGACUAGCAACAACCAUGGCCUUCAGAUGACUACGGGAGCUUAAAUGCAGAUGUUGUGGACCAAUACUCAUCUGCUUCAUUUCUUUUCUUGUUCACAUGGAGGCUGACAGCCACAGGAGUGGGUGAAACGUCACCUGAUUGAUCAUCAUGAUGAUGUGUGCUGGCUGAGCAAACCGCUCUGAAAUUCACAAAUUCCAGCUGUUCUGUCUGUUCCCUGAUCCCAUUUGCUACACCUGAGCAAGUCCUGCUAUGCUUGUAUGAUGUGCAUUUUACUUCUUUGGGUCUUCAUGGUAUGAAUAUGCUGUUUCACACACACCUUCUUGGGGUUCUUGCGGUCCCACAGGGGUUGUGUAGGUUUGUGGUCACCGUUCUUGCCUGUCUCUUCCUUUCAGGUAACUGGUGUGGUAUUUCUUACUUAGCCUUCCUUAUUCCUUAUGCACGUGUGGCCUCUAUUUUAACUAUUGCUCUAUUCCUGCAGGCGCCACUCUGGCUUCCAUAAGAGAGAGAGGUCAGCUCCAUGGUCUAAGUUUCUAGGUGGUAUAAUCACUCUUAUGGUACUGCUCGUAAUGCUUUUCACAUAGAUCAGUUGACUAUUGAACUUGAAAAUCUCUUUGUACCAGUUUCAUCUGGUUUUGAGUCCCUGACCCCUGAGCUUAAAGCUCUAUGUGUCGUCCCUGGAUAAUGGGAUGGCUCUGGAUUCCUUCUGGCUGACCUGGGCGACACCAGUCAGGUAAUAGGUGCUGAGUGUUGUAUUUGGAUUCCUGAUGCUUCUAACUACAUUUCAGCUGUUUUACAUUAUUUACGGGACCUCAUGCAGGUGAUGACUUGUACUUAUGAUGAUAUCGGUUUACUGGUUUUAGCAGUGAUGAUGAUGAUUUCUGAACCUCAGUAUAAUGUUAUGGUGUGUCAGUGUAUAUUUUCUAAACGUUUGCUUUUACUACAACCUAGGGGUGUCUAUGCUCAUGUAGGAUCAGCAGCUCUUAUCCUUCCUUCAUUUCCCACUUCUGUUGAUUAUGAGUUUUGUUUUGUUUUUUUUUUUAAUCUGGGUGCAUUUUGACCAUUGAUGUGAUUAUAACAGUGGCAUUCUGUUGUGUGAAGAUGUUAUGGUAAAUUUCUUUGCGUUUUGUGUGAUUAAUAGUAAAACGAGGUUUUCCUUUAAUCAAAAGAGGGGAAUUGUGAAAGAAAUUUAGCUGCAUAUGGUAAUCACUCAUAUAUACUCAUAAUAAUCACAUGUAUAUUCAGUUUCUUUAUUAAUUUAGAGCAGCCAUCAGGAAAGGGGAUACAGGUGUUAGACACUGUCAGUAGUGUACUAGUAGCCCUGAAACUAAGUUCCAUGACAAAAUGAAAAAAAAAAAACUGAAUCUGAAGACAUUUUCAAGCAUCACAAAAGGAGAUAGAGGAGACCAAAAAUACAACAAGGAUCUGGUCUUGACAGCAGACAGAAAUCUCUUUGGGCAUAUGAUCAUUGUUUCACAAAGUAGACAUCUUAACAUAAAAAAUGUCCUGACUCAUCCACUUGGUCCCCAGCCUUGGUCACUUUCAAAUCCAGAUGGUUCACGAAGAAAGACCAACAAGGCCGCCCUUGCUAGACAUUGAAGAGAAAUCAGGAUCAGCAGUUGAAGAUACUGGAAAUCGCUCUGCAUUAAUCAUUGAUGGAAUGAGCCUUGUUCAGAGACUGAAAGGUGAUGGCAAGGCUUUUGGAGAGAUUGUUGGAUCAGUGCGGAACCUGGCUUUGCAUGAAGGAGGAAAGAGUAUGCAAAUAGAUGUGGUUUUUGAUGUGUACAGGAAUACAUGAAUCACGAAUGCUGAGAGAUGCCAUCGUGGUUCAUUCAGUGGAAGACCAUUGCCCCAGGACACAGUGUUGUGCAGUAGAGAAAGCUUUUAAGUAAUCCAGACAGCAAAACUACCUUGAUUACAUUCAUUGUGGACCAGUGGAAGCUGCCAGCAAACCAGGUGAAGCUUCAGGACAAGCAGCUAUUUGCAGCCUGUGGAGAGACAUGCUAUUGUCUGAGUUAAAAAGGAAUGAUGGACUGUGGAGGAGCUGAAGUCUUCCCAUGAGGAGGCAGAUACCCGCAUGCUCCUACAUGCCAAUCAUGCAGCCAGAAUGGCUGUAAAAUGGCUGUAAAAUAUCUAGAGAUCUAUUGCUUUUUGCCUUUCCAUACUUUUUAUCUUUGUGUAUUACAGUGUGCCUUUUAAGCCGAGAACUUCUGAAACAAAAUUUCGUUGUGCCUUGCACAAUGACAAUAAAGAUUCUUGAUUCUUGAAACUACCAUGAUCGUGAGUGAGGAUACAGAUGUCAUGAUCCUUUGUCUGGGACACUGUAAGAAGAUCAACUGCACCAUGUUUUUGAAAUGUGGGACUAACAAUCGAACAAGAUACAUUGAUAUGACCAGCCUUGCUGAGCUCCAUGGAGAUGACCUAUGUGAUGCACUUGUAGGUGUUCAUACCUUUACAGUUUGUGAUAGUGUAAAUGCUUUUGCAGGAAGAGGAAAACUCAGUGCUCUUAAACUUGCCAAAGGAAACAGGACAUUUCAAGAGGCCUUCAAAUCCCUGGGAACAUCCUGGGAUAUGUCAAAGGAAUUAUGCAGAGAUAUGGAAUCCUUUGUCUGCAGGAUGUAUGCACCAUCAUCUAAUGUAUGUGAUGUCAGUGAUCUUCGCUACCUGCUGUUCUGUACCAAAAGGGGUGAGGUGAGUGGAGUCCAGCCUACUUCCCCCUUGUAGUGACUGCUUACAGCUGCAUACAUAGUGAGCCAACCACCAAACAGCAGUCUGGAGGCACUGUCUGGAAGGACAGCCAGACAGAGGGCUGUCCCUCUGAGCAUGGAUGGAAAAACUGAUGACAAAGGCAUGCUGACAUUAGACUGGAUACGAGGAACCCAGCACCCAUGACUGUCCUGGAAUUUAUGGCCUGCAAGUGUAAACGGACCUGCAAGCUUCCAGCGUGCUCCUGCCAAACUGAAGUGCGCAGAAAUGUGCAAACUAUAAACCUGCACCAAUCAGUGGGAAGAGGAGGAUGAUGUAGACGUUGCUGUAACCAUGGAUAACUAUGAUGAUAAUGAUGAUGAUGAUGAUGAUGAAUAGAAUAGAAAUACUUCAUUAAUCCCUUUGGAGAGUCCUCAGGGAAAUUUGGGUAAAUUUGGGUGUAAAGAUUAAUAAAUAAGAUUUGGAAACCAUAUCAGAUUGUUAAAGGUUAGUUGUAGCUAAGAUAGCACUUGGAAAGGUUUUUGAAGCUGAAAUAUCAUCUAAAAAUAAAGGCUGUUUGAAAAUACAGUAAUGAUGUAGUGAUGAAAUACGAGUAGUAAAAAAUUCUCGCCUGGGCCCAUGUUCUACUUUAGGUCUUAAAAUCUCCCCUAAUAGUGGGAUAAUACGGGAAGAUUAUACAUUUACUGAAUUGUUACAGUCCUGUGAGUAUUUCAGUUUUUGUUAUUUGUGCCAGUGUCGUUUCUACUUCUCACAAUGCUCAAAAAAAUACUACAGUUUAGGCAAAAAUUGAGGAAAAUAAUAUUUGUUGAUAGUUUGAAGACUCCAUGCAACUUCUGUAUAAAUUAGACAGAUGCAAAACUGAGUUUAAAUGAAAGCUCUGAGACUACCCUUUUAAAUGCUACCAAAGGUGCCCUCUUAAAAGAUGAGUAAGAGUCUGGAAAAUGAGUAAUAAAUAGAAUAUGCACCAGCGCCUAGAAUCCAAUUUCUUGUAGGGGGUGACUAACUUCAUGUGCUGAUAACUGUGACAAAGCUACCACUUAGGACAUGUUAUCAUACCAAAAUAUAAUCUAUAGACAUGUACCUUUUCAAAAAUUGUUGCCAGUUUUGCCACCUUGAGUGGUACCGAAUAUAAGUCUAGGCCAUGGACUACCUUGUGAAGACUUUUGACCUCUGUCAUUGCCAACAGAAGGUAUAUAACAAAGUAUUGUGAUGAACUUUUAUUAUUGACCAAAUACUGGUUUUCCACCAUAAUUUGCAAAUAAAUUCUCUAGAAAUCACACAAUGUGAUUUUAUAGAUUUUCUUUUCUCAUUUUGUCUCAUAUACCUAUGAUGAAAAUUACAGGCAUUUUUUUAAGUGGGAGAACUUGCACAAUUGGUAGCUAACUAAAUACAUUUUCCCUACUGUAUAUCCCUUGGUUUCAGUUGUCCUUUGUGAGAUCAUCGGUCAUGUUUCCCCAACAUGUCUCUUGUUUAGUCUGUACAUUUUUUCACAGUUUUGACCUUUGUCCCAUCUUCCUCCUGCCUUACUGUCCUGCAUUUGGGUCCACUUCCUCCUCAAAUCAUGACAGAACGAUCUGACCACCAUGGAUCCAGCAGACAUUGAAGACAAGGAGGAGGCUUUCAUGGAAGUGCACCUGGCCACAAAGGCCAACAUUGAUUGUAUGGCUGGGCUUUACCCUCUGCUGGUACAGAUGGGAGCAGCCAAGGGGUUGUGGACCUGAUGACUGCCAAUCCCUACUACUUCAGCUUUCUGGAUGCAGCCGAUAAGCCGGCUAAGGCCAAAGAAGAUUUAAGAGCUUUGCAUGAAGACUGUCACACUCGCCCAGUCUCCUGUCAGCAAGGCAACACUCCUGAGCCUUGUUGAAAACAACUGCGGCUGCUAACUGCUCUAACUGUGUGUUACAUUGUGCUUCUCACCCUUUCUUUCUUGGAAACCUGAUUUUCCUUUUCUUGGGGUGAAACAUGACUGUUUCCUGCCUUCUGCUCCUCAGGCUGUUGAUGACAUAUGAUUUAAAUGAAACUCAGUUGAAUCUAGUGAUGUGUGGAUUAAUACUAGAAUGUUGAUACCUUUAGAUACCAGUUAUUUAUGUUCUAAAAAAUAUAUAUAUAUGUAAAAAAUAUAUGCCUGAAAAGUAUUAACAAACAUGCAAUUUGGUUACACUUUAAAUUUAAAUAUGUAUUUCACUGGCACUUUCAGUUUGAGCCACACAGCAUGCUGUAAAGUACAGUAUGAGCUGUUUUGAGAGUAAUUUUCUAAACACAGUAAUUAUUUUUUAAAGACAUGAGAGGGCCUUAGAGAACAUCCAUUAUUGUUCAUGUAAAAUUCAAUCUCCCAAACCCUUAAUUCAGCCAAUUCAUUGUGAUAUUAAUUAUAUAUUUAAAAAAUACCACAUAAGACAAACUUUUCAUCCCAGGCUUUGUGAGGGUCCAUUGUGCAGUGGGCCCUGGAUAAACAGCAGCUCUAUCUGGGAGUAGCAUGUGAACAAAGGUCUGGACGGAAAAGCAUGAUGGGAAUUUUGUUAAAAGGUAAUUACAAAAAAUGAAGCUUCUGACUGGUGAACUUUACCCCGCACCACCUUCUCUUACAAAGGAACCAUGUUCAGUAGCAAACAUAUAGAGCGUGGGAGUACAGCCAUCUUGUUUUGGCUUGUUUUGGUUACCAAAAGCCCCGAAUCAGGGUCAUGUCAGGUUAGGUACAACGAAUACCCACAUAUGUAUAGAUAUAUAUAUAUAUAUUUUAAUUGCAGUUAAAUAGUCAACCCCCCUAUCAUACACAUACACCAGUGUGAUUUGAGGGAUCUAAGCAUAGCAUUUUAUGAUACACACUCAAGAUUUACCAUAUAAGGUUCUCUGUCCUAUAGACUGGAUUCACACACGAACAUGUCUUCUACGCACACGAAUAUCCUAUAUACAAACUCUAUGAUUGGAGGAUACAGGACUGAGGAAUUCUCUUUGUUUAAACCAUAUAUAAGACAGAACUUUACAUCAGGUCUUUGGGUCUUCGUUCUGGUUUUGGG